ensembl:lncRNA
UUAAAUUAUUUUGAAAUAAAUAAGCAAGCAUAGUGCAGUACGCAAAUUUCACAUUUUACUUACUGAGUUUGUGGCACUAGGUGUGGUUCAGAUUUAUGAUAUGAAGGGGUGCGGUUUACAAAAAUAGGCUAAUUCCUAUUGGUCGCUGCCUGCUGGUGUAGCAGCGAUACCUGAAGCAGGUAGGCAAAUAAAGACAGAGCUGAGAAAGAGGAUCACACUGCUGCUCAUCACGACAGGGCGCACAUUAGGACCAACUAAAAAUGUUCAAGACCUUCAUACUAAAAGUUUAGGCCUUUUUAUUUUUGCAUGGUUUAACAGAAAACAAUUUCUGACUUUUUGUUUCUUUAGCACCGAUUUGGAUCUAACGCCACGAGCAAGGUGAGUGUGUGGUCAAAAUCAAGGCACGGAGGGAGAGACAGGUUUGGGCUCGCUGAAGGGAGAGGCCAAGACACAGAGUACAUUCUCUAACACUCUCUGAACACAACAACAGCCUUCGCAAUGGAACAUUCUGAACCUGCACAACAAAACAGUACAGACAUGCUGCGGAAGCCGGAAAGCAGUUUUAUCUGCUCUGUGAAUUCUAUCCUUCAUUCCACCGGAGUCUGUGUAGCUGUCCAAUCAGAUUUCAGUGGUGUGAAGUGUAGGAGACAUGGAAAGAUCACUUUUUUUCCCAAGCUGCAAAGGUUGUUUUCAUGGGCUUAACCGAAAAACAGCACAGAUUGCACCACUCCAGCUCCACACAACAUGGCAUGUUUGUUCAUUUGCUGUUGUGGAGAGAGCCGAGGCGGGCUGAGUACACACACCCCCACACAUACAAGAUUCACAAAGCCUGCCAAGAUGUAUUUAUGUAUGCUGGUUCAGCCUUUAUCCUCUCAACCCACACUAAUAAACUCACUUUACAAAAUGUGUUUGUGUGAAUUGCUUAAUCCUGACAAUAAACCACUAUAAUAAAACA